rnacentral:rRNA from 1 species
UACGGAAGGUCCUGGCGUUAUCCGGAUUUAUUGGGUUUAAAGGGAGCGCAGGCCGAUGAUUAAGCGUGACGUGAAAUGCCGCGGCUCAACCGUGGAAGUGCGUCGCGAACUGGUUGUCUUGAGUGAGUUCGACGUCAGCGGAAUUCGUGGUGUAGCGGUGAAAUGCUUAGAUAUCACGAAGAACUCCGAUUGCGAAGGCAGCUGGCGAGACCUUUACUGACGCUAAAGCUCGAAGGUGCGGGUAU